rnacentral:RNase_P_RNA from 1 species
CAACGGUGCGGUAAGAGCGCACCAGGGGCCGGGAGACCGGUUCGCUAGGUAAACCCCACCCGGAGCAAGACCAAAUAGGAGGGGGAUGAGGUUGCCCGCCGACUCCUCGGGUUUGGUCGCUGGAGAUACCGGGCAACCGGUAUCCAAGAUAGAUGGCUGCUGAAAACAGAACUCGGCUUACCAGCUUGCUCGGGUU